rnacentral:rRNA from 1 species
GAUGAACGCUGGCGGCGUGCCUAAUACAUGCAAGUCGAGCGAACAGACGAGGAGCUUGCUCCUCUGACGUUAGCGGCGGACGGGUGAGUAACACGUGGAUAACCUACCUAUAAGACUGGGAUAACUUCGGGAAACCGGAGCUAAUACCGGAUAAUAUAUUGAACCGCAUGGGUCAAUAGUGAAAGACGGUUUUGUUGUCACUUAUAGAUGGAUAGGCGCCGCAUUAGCUAGUUGGUAGGGUAACGGCUUACCAAGGCGACGAUGCAUAGCCGGCCUGAGAGGAUGCGCACCCACACUGGGAGUGAGACACGGCCCGGACUCCUACGGGAGGGAGCAGAGGCGAAUAGUGGAAAAUGGGCGGAAGUAUGAAACAGCUAUGACGCGUAAGUGAUGAAUGUCUGAGAGUAAAAAAGCUCUAUUACCCGGGAUGAUAAUGACAGUACCGGAAGAAUAAGCUCCGGCUAACUCCGUG